AGUAACGCGUGGUCAACCUUCCCUACAGUGGGGGAGUAACUAGCCGAAAGGUUAGCUAAUACCGCAUGACAUCUUCGAGAGGCAUCUUUUGAAGAUAAAAGGAGCAAUCCGCUGAAGGACGGGACCGCGUCCCAUUAGCUAGUUGGUGGGGGUAAUGGCCUACCAAGGCAACGAUGGGUAGCUGGUUUGAGAGAGCGACCAGCCACACUGGGACUGAGACACGGCCCAG
rnacentral:rRNA from 1 species